GGUCCAAGAUGCACAUGAAGCUAUGGCACUUUUAAUUUGUCUUGCCUGGGCAUGAGGCAAUGAUCCUCUGAAGGUGUGUGGCGCUAGGAAGGUGGACUGCUGCAACCCAUCUCCCCAAAUGCUUCUAAAUGCAUUUGUCGCCUUCAUGUUAUAUAAAGUUCUCUUGCUAGAAAUCCUUGAGACAACAUUGUUCAAGGCCACUCAGUUGUGGAAACCAACGACUUCAAAGUUCUGCUCUCAAGUGCAACAUGGCUGUUCUCAAUACACACUCUGCACUGAACCAUUGCCCCAGGAAGCUGCUGCUAUUAUUCACUUCACAAUGCAAGUCCAAAGCACCAGAAGGCUUGAUCUACAAGAUAUAUUAACUGCUUUACAAACACCACUUGCAUUGGAGACGGUGGGCAUCCCAAAGAGGCACGGGGGCCAUUUAUCAUGCAACCCUCCCCCUCACAAAGUUAGAUAUUCCUUCCCCCCACUAUCCCUGCCACCUUCCUCUCACCCAGAUACCUUCCUUUGGAAAGCAAAUAAACUAAACUUUGCUUAUGAUGAUAAUUGCACGAAGAAACAUCUUCUUGUAACAGCUAUUUUGCCCCUCUCGUAUCCAAUUACUAUGCUUACCCAAAAGCUGUCAUCUCUUAUACAUCCAGCGUAAUUAAUAGCUUAUGGACCAACUCAAUGCCAUGGAAAAUAAUUACUGGUAAAGUGAGAAAGUAGUCUUUUAAACAAAUGCAGCAGUCAGGCACUCCUAACACUACACGUACAGUUUUGCCUUGAUCCCAAGCAGCCCUCUAACGGCAAUGUGGACUAAUUUGUCUGCCCGUUUAGAGAUUAAGAAGGGAUUGAGUGCUUUCUCAAUAGAGACUGUGAGGGGCAGAUGCUAUAAUUAGCCAGAUCACAUUUCUUUAUUCUAUUCAUUAAAAACAAAAAAAGCUCGCAAGACAAUAUAUCAUGUAUUAAUUUUAAAUUGUAACUAUGCAGGUCAUUUUAUAAUGUAGUGGUAAUUACAUAUAUCCAGUCUAAGCAGGCAAAAGAAAUGUCCUUGAUGUUGUUUCUGAUUCCAACAGAGGUUAAGGAUAUGCCUUUUCUACAAAUAUGCAUUAGUUUUAUGCUAGUUCUGCUGUCCUCACUCUUCCACUGGGGGCAGGUAGAGGGGUGAGUCCGCUACAGAUGCCAACUAAGCAAACCAAAACACCCAUAUCUACUUUAUAGGUAUUUUCGGAAAUGGUUUCUCUUGUCUAUUUAUUCUAUAUAUUGUGGGUUCAGCUGCCUCUUGAUAUAUCAUUGCCAAACUCAGCAUGAGGUUUCCCAAGGUGUGUGGGGGGGGGGGGCAGUCCUCAUCUACUUUUGGACACCAACAGUCAUUUUGAAUCAAGAGGACAGGCUGAAAUGUGACCUUGGCUUGACUUCACCUGUUUUUGACAUAGGUUCCAGCACCUCUUGAGACAUCGUUGCCAAAUGGCAGAAUGAUUACUGUGCUGGGGGCAGUGGUUUUUGUUGACUUUUGGACGCCAACCCCUAGGUACAAGUCUUACCCCUCACCAGACAGCCCUCGUUCAUUAGUUAUUUGGACCGUGUUAGUGUAUACAGGUUCAAACCAUGUUAUUUUGAGAAGAGGGUGAAACCAGCCAUACGUCAGCAACCAUACAUUUAGGAAUGAAACUAGCAUGCCACACAAAAAGGUCCACACAAUUUAAUUACUAAACUUUGGAUACAACUGCUUUAAAAAGACACAGAGCCAGGUCUGGAGAAUAGCCAAAAUUUAAUGAUGGAAGGAUCAGAACCCCCAAACAGGAAAAAAACAACACCCUAGGAUUUGUGGCACAAAAUAUAACUUCAUAGCAAGGCUGGAUCUGCUCCCAAACUUUGAAAGUUUGUGCUUUACUUGAGGUUAAAUCUGAAGCAAGAUAAUGGUGUGUCUUCCUUGUGGGGAUUGGUUUUCACUGCCCUUCCCUAUAUGGUCACAGGGCAGUGUUAUGCACAUUAAAACUCAUUAUUAUUACAUUAUUGUUGUAAUUUCUUAGCCGUCCUUCACCCUAAGGUUCUAGGGCGGGUUACAACAUUAAAAUACAACAUUAAAAGCAGUUUAAAACAACUUGCAAUCACAAAAAUAAGGUGGGUCCUAAAAAUAUCUCAUCAAAGGUAAAGAGCUGUGUCUUCAGCAUCCUCUGGAAGUUGUAUAAGGAAGGGACUUCUAUGUGGAAGGACUUUUACAGCUUUGGGACUGGCACAGAGAAUGCCCUCUUCCAGACUGCUGUCACCCCCUGAGCCUCUGAGGGAGGAUGAACUACCCAGAGGGCAGCCUCUGCCAAAGUCAGUAUCUGAGGGGGAAGGAGGUGACUUUUCAGAUAUUUGGGACCUGUGGUGUCCAAAUGUCAGUUGGAUUUCAGUGUGUGUGUCUCUGCCCAAGACGGUUGGGGAUACUGGGGAAUGAUUCCAAAGUUGGAGAAGUAAGGAAAUAGAUUCUUUUGCAGAGUUAAUGUGACAGGGAAGUAAGUGGCUUGCCCUGUACUGAACAAGAACUUCCAAGGUUGCAACGAGUGCUUACAUGCUUAUCAUUUCCCUUGUCUAAUCGCUUAAUUACCUUGGUCUCAUUUGAUCUCAUUUUGAAGGUGACUAAGUAUAGCAGCAGCAGCAGCAGCAGCAGCAGCAGCAGCAAGGCAGGAACUUUCACUGCCUCAUUUGAAGGUGGAGAAUGAGGGCUUUGGGGGCUCAUUAUGGGGACCUGCUUCUGCAGCUGCAUAAGCCGGGAGGACAUCGCUGGUAUGGUAUGGGAACCAUAAUGUUAAACUGAGUUCUCCAGCCCCUUCUGAAUCCUGUGGCUUUUCUGGGCUUUUGUGAAAUUGCAGACGGUACCCACCUCAACCCCUGACGAUUGCCAGGGUGCUUCCGUUACAUAUUGAGGAUGUUUGGCGUCAAACAGCCAAUAUUUUGAGGGACUGAAUAUCACUCUCUAUUCCUUUCCCCACUUUUCUCCUGCAUACAUCUGUAUGGUGGAUUCAUUUCCCGUUUUGUCUCUGCUUCCUGAGCAUCCCUUUUCACAGCCCCCCACCAGAAAUCUUCCAGAGGGCUGAGGUGGGUGGGAGGGAAAUAAAUCACGUCCCGUAUAUUCCCAGGGCAAUUUCAACUUUAAAAAAGGAUAUCAACAUGAAGGACAAUUGCAGUGUUGAGCUGUCAUCUCGUCCCCACAGGUACCAUGAAAAAUUACUGCCAAUAAAAUAACAUUUUUCAAAAUGUGACACUACCCUUAAAUUUAUCUUCCACAAUAAAUGGGUUCUGGGAGAAAAUUUCAGUCCUUUUGAGCAUAAACUAUUCUUCAAGCACUCAAUAAUAGAUUACAAAUGAAUUGCAUUAUUAAUUUAUAAUAGAAUAAUUGUUUUGCUUCAACAGUCACUUUCAAGAAUUCGGGCAGUAAUUUUCUUUGCUUCUUUAUCAUCUUAAAGAUAUUUUCCCCACAGGAAAGAAAAAAGAAAUGAAAGAGAAUGAGAAGGGGGGUGGGAAAGUUGUAGAUGGGUUCAAGUCAACAAAAGACCGAGACUUUCAUUCCAAAGGCCAAUUGGAACAAAAGCCUUAACUUGGAUUAUUGUCUCCAAAGGUUGCUUGCCAUGUUCAUUACAGCCGCCGUUUGGCCCUUUCUGUGAUGCGAUCACUGAGCUGCUCACUCAGAGUACAGGGAAGAAUGAGAAGCAGUUCUUGAGAAGCAUGAAUUAAGAGCAUGAGGAGAGCCCUGCUGGAUCAGACCAAAGGCCCAUCAAGUUCAGCAUCCUGUUCUAACCAGAUGCUUAUAGGAAGCCUGCAAGCAGGACCUGAGCACAACAGCCCUUCUCCCCCCCCCCACUUGUGAACCCCAGUGACUGGCAUUCAGAGGCUUACUGCCUUAGACAAUGGAGAACAUAGCCAUCAUGGCUAGUAGCUAUUGAUAGCCAUCUCCUUCGGGAAUUUGGCCAUUGCUAUAUCUUAUAGUAUCAAAUUCCAUGCUUUAUCUAUGUUUUGUGUGUGUGUUUUAUUUGGUCUGUCCUGAACCUUUCAACAUUCCACUUCAUGGGAUGUUCUAAUAUUAUGAGACAACAAUGAUAUGAGAGCACUGGGCUGAACAUUUUCACUUCUGGGUUUUUUAUUUCUCCUCCUAUUUUUUCUCUAGAUUUUGUCAUUCCAAAUCACUCUAUCUUGUUUCUGAAGCUGAACUGAUUGUGCAUAAGGAACUAUCCACUGGUUGGUUUAAUUAUUAUUAAUACUGUUAUUACUAUUAUUACUAUUAUUGUUAAUAUUAUUAAUAUCAUCAUCAUCAUAAUUGUUGUUGUUUAUUUGCACCUUGCCCAUCUGACUGGGUUGCCGCAGCCACUCUGGGUGGCUUCCAGCAUAUAUAAAAACAUAAUAAAACAUUAAACUUUAAAAAGCUUCCCUAUACAGCGGUCAUUACCUUUCUGCUUGCUGAAGUUCCUGAGUUUUCAAUCCCAGGCUGGGUUGGGAAAGACUCUUGCCUGAUACACUAGAGAGCUGCGAGCAGUCUCUAGAUGUUUAAAUGGACCAAUGGUCUGACUUAUAAGACUUAUAAGACAGUUUCUUGGCUCCUAAUGUGCUGCAAUUUUCAGCCCUCUUAUUUCUCUCUCACAUUCCAUUCUGUAUGUGCAUGUGUUUCACCAGUUGAGGUCUACUUUGGUUAUAGCCUUUUCUACCUCUCUGCCUUUGUUGUCAUUUUCUGGGCAAAUGGUUUGUUGCACCAGAGUCAUUGUCACAUCAGGUUUUUUAAAGAACUGUACUCAGAUGCAGGCUUUGUUUUCUUCCUGUCUUCCUGCUGAACCAAUCCUGUUGUUUCUGUUGAAAGUCAACGAGGCACAGAAAUUGCUACAAAGGAGUCGGCUGAAGAAACCCUGUAAACAUUAUGGCAGCAUGAGAAAGACUUGUUUAGUUUAUUUCCGCAGGCUUUGAAGAUGCUGCAAAGCCCAAAUUUAAGGUGAUAUAAAUACAGAUGUGAAGAGAGAGAAAAGUAUUUGGGGGCAGGGCUUUGGGAUGGUUAUGGCCGUUUUAGCUAGAUUCUGUAGAUACGUUAUUCUGUGUUGGAUUUUGAAGGACUGUAGAUCUUUAUUGCCGCCAGUUGAGAUUGAGCAGAACUCCAGCUUUUCUGAGAGAAAAUUUGACAAAACCUAAGGAGACAUGAGGAUGCUUGCUAAGGGCUGAUCCAUGUGUAGAUUUCACAACCAUUUUGCUUAAAGCAGGAGGGGAAGGACUUUUUGUGCUCCAGAUGCUGUGGGCAGAGCUGGAUUAAGACCUUUGGAGUUCCUAAGCACUUAAAAGAUUUUGGUGCUCCCAUAUAUCUAAUAAAAAUAUCAACAAUAAUAAACUGU
rnacentral:lncRNA from 1 species